AUGGUAACUACCAGGGUUGUCCGCCGACGAGUGAUCAUCCAGGGAGAGGACAUGCCUGAGAUACCGCCAGAAAGUGUCACCGAAGAAGAAUACAUUGAUGAGCAUGGGCACACCGUGGUGAAGAAGGUUACCAGAAAAAUCAUCAGGCGGUACGUGUCCUCUGAUGGCACAGAGAAAGAAGAGAUCACGAUGCAAGGGACACCACAGCAGCCUGUGAACAUCGAAGGUGGAGACGGUUAUUCCAAAGUGAUAAAGCGUGUUGUACUGAAGAGUGACGCCGAGCAGUCAGAGGUGACUUUGUCUGAACCCAGCAUUCUGUCCAGUACCUCACAAUUUCAGGCUGAACCAGUAGAAGGCCGUAGAGUCAGCAAAGUUGUUAAAACCACUGUGGUCUGUGGAGAGAGGAUGGAGAAACAUCUGGGGGAUUCUAGUUUAGCCACUGACCUUCCUUCAGCCAAAGAUGACUUUGACGAGGACAACAAUCAGUAAAGCCAAGACACAGAAGAGGGCUGUGGUGAAGGACUGGCAUGGGAAACGUGUUGAUCUGGAGCACCUGGAAGAUGUACCAGAAGCAUUAGGCCAGGACGACCUCCAGCAUGACCUCGAGCAACUCCUUCGGCAUUUCCACCAGGAGGACUUGAAGCAAAAGGCUACAUGAGGGGCUUCCCAAUUCUCACACCAGAAACCAUGCAUUCACACAAUAUGCAACUUCCCAGUUCCUUAGAGGAGUGAUUUCACUGGCCCACUUAAUGGGAUCCCCUGACAUUUCCACUGUUAGCAAAUAUACAUCAUUCUGUUUUAGUUUUUCCGCAUUCUCUCUAAUGAUAAACUAAUCUGUGACCAAAGAUAGCAUCCUUCCUUGUGGAUGCUGCACCCACUCCUUGGUGUGUCUGUGUGAGCCUGGGACCUGGCCACCCUCACUGUUCUGUGUUCCUGCUCAUGCUCACGGAAAUCCAUCGAUUAGAAGAACUUCACCUGCAGACCUCUUUCAGUGACGACCCAGAGGACUCCUUCCUCAGGAUACCCAUGUACAAUGUAUAUAGCUGAAAUGCUCAGAUGAACAAUAUGUUAAAAUCAAACCACUGCCUACCAUAACUACACUGGGAAUCAUGGAAUAAAAGGUCUCUAGAAAUUGCUGAACAAUGGUUAAUAAAGAUAUUGCUAACACAAUCAAAUGAUUAAACAACACAGUUUGACGGUGAAAGAAGCACUGCAGAACUACCAUGUCCUUAGGACUUCCAGAGUAGCCAUUGCUCCUAAAGAAGAGUCAAUAAUCCUGAAGAACUGUCCUCACUACAAAGCUACUGCUGGUGCUGGCCAGCCAUCAUCUAUGACUCUGGGGAAGGAGAAAAGGGAGCAGAAAGCAAAGAGAUGGAGACAGUGAGAUAUUUGGUUGCAAGAAGCUACUUCCUGUGGCAUUCUAGCAUCUUCAGGUCUUUUUGAUUUUGGACAUGUUGGCAGGGUAUUUUAAAAGUUAUAACUACUGUAGUUUUCCAGUUUCCCUUGCUGCUUUAGCAAACCAUGCUGUCUUACUGGUGGUACUUUCUUCCGGCCACUGCACUGUACAUAAAUUCAUUGGAAACAAGAUUUACUUACUACAAAAAAAAAGUUAAAUCCCGUCGCCCUGUCGGAGUGGUUUCUUUUUAUCCCCGCCCCCCAGCUUUAUAUCUUCUCGAAUACCUGCACGUGGCAUUUAAGAAUCAAACCCACAGCCCAAACUCCUCUUCUCAUCACAGCAAUGGUUUUCAUUCUUUUUGCCCUGAGUGAAAACUUCACUUUCCAGCUAGAUCUGUUUUUCAGCUUGCAGACAAGGUUGAGAAAUCCUUUGAAAGUUUGGUUUUUGGUUAAAAUUUUUGGUUUAUUUAUUUGAAAUCCAACUCCCUUGGAAACUCUUAAGUGCAUUUGUCCACUUCUCUGUUUGUUUCAAAGAAGGGACUGGAACAAUCUGAAGUGAUUUCCAUGUCCUAUUUCUUAUUCCUCUAGUGGUUGAAGCUGUGUAGCAUUUUAACAUAUAUUAUAUAUAUUCAUAAAUAUAUUCAUGUAAACAGUAUACAUUUUGAACCAGUUAUUUGUUAAAAGUAUAUUCAAUGAAGAUGAAAUUUUUUUAAAAGUCUAUCCUCCAGGGAUUGAACUUUUUCCAAUUCUAUCUGGUCUUUUCUUGUGCAAAAAUGACUCAUUGCUCCGAAUGUCAACAGCCAAUGUGACAAACCAUGGCACUUCAUUAUUUAAAGUAACUUUGCCAAGAGAAAAAAAUGUUCUGGUGGGGGGGGCCGGUUUCCCCUAAGCCAAAUCUCCUAACCCUCCAACGCUAGCACUUCUGGCAGCUGGAUGGGAAUAGAGCGUUCUUUGGCACUGAAAAGAGAGAGGCCCCCGUGGACCUUUGUGGCACUCACCAAGGCCCUCUGUCUCAGCCUCCACCUGGAACCCGACAAGCAUUUCCGUGUGUAAUUUGCAGUGCAGAUGAUGUCUGUGUAACAACAUAAUUGUUAUUCACCUUCCUUUGAUUUUUGAUUUUUGCUGUGUUAUCAGAAAAACUUGAAUAUGUGAGAAGAAGUGAAUUUUCAGUUGAUGAAUCAGCAUUUUGUUCCCAUGGUGAUAACGCUAAUUGAAUAUAUCUAUGAGGGCAUGUAUUAGUUAACGGAAAAAAAUACAACACUAACAAUACAUAGCUGCAAUGUUGUACAAUGGCUGAUUUAAUUCAAUAAAAUGUACAAGUGUUAAAUGUGGCAACAGUGAUUUGUUCUUUAUCACAAAUCUGUGCUCUUGGGAGAAUGAGGGAUAAUUAAGGGAAUGAGAUAGACUUGGAGCCAGCAGAAGGACGCCAGUUCCCGUUUCUUUUGGUUUUCCUUGGUAACUGAAUGUGUUAUUCUCCCAGCACUGUACUAAGCAAUCUGCCCCUGCCCUCUUAUUGUUAGGGUUAUGCAGUGGGGGAAAUCAGGGGUCACUAAUAAAUGAAAAACAGGAAUUUAGGGACUUGGGGUAGAUGCUAACAUGGAAACCGGGCAUUGGCAGCUCAGCAAGACCACAGGACUUGACUAUUUUGGUUCUUUCCCCUAACGCCAUCAGUGUCACAAAAUACCCGUCUGUGGGAACAGCAUUUAGCCCUGGGUUGUUUUGUUUUCUUCUCUUUUAUAAUUAGAUAAUUGGAAAAUGAAUAAAUAUAUUAGGUACAUAAAGAUAAGGUAGGAAUAUGCAAAAUUGAAAUCAGUAGUUUUGGAGUGUUUGACUAGCAUUGUUUUUUUAAAAAAAAUCCCUUUAAUGCCACUAUAAUUUUUUUUGCAGUAAAAACUAUAGAAAGAGUUUAGAAAUUGAAGUUUUAUUUAAAUAUUAUCUAGCAUGGAAUAGGAAGCUAGCUGGACCUGUUUUAUCUGCCUGAUUGCUUAACAAGAUCUUCUAAAAUUAAAAUACCAAUUAUACUUGAUAUUUUUCAAAGAAAACAGAGUCAAAAUUAUUUUUCCAAAGUGGGAGUGUGUAUGUGACCAUUGCCCUACUUGUUUGUUUAAUGGAUUGUGCUUUCUACUAAGGGGAUCUCUAGGCUUGCAUUGCCUGGGCUUUGAGGAAACAGAUCAAAGAAACAGAAUAUACACUGUCUU
rnacentral:lncRNA from 1 species